rnacentral:rRNA from 1 species
CCUACGGGUGGCUGCAGUGGGGAAUAUUGGACAAUGGGGGCAACCCUGAUCCAGCCAUGCCGCGUGUGUGAAGAAGGCCCUCGGGUUGUAAAGCACUUUCAGUGAGGAAGAACGCCUGGUGGUUAAUACCCAUCAGGAAAGACAUCACUCACAGAAGAAGCACCGGCUAACUCCGUGCCAGCAGCCGCGGUAAUACGGAGGGUGCGAGCGUUAAUCGGAAUUACUGGGCGUAAAGCGCGCGUAGGUGGCUUGAUAAGCCGGUUGUGAAAGCCCCGGGCUCAACCUGGGAAAGGCAUCCGGAACUGUCAAGCUAGAGUGCAGGAGAGGAAGGUAGCAUUCCCGGUGUAGCGGUGAAAUGCGUAGAGAUCGGGAGGAAUACCAGUGGCGAAGGCGGCCUUCUGGACUGACACUGACACUGAAGUGCGAAAGCGUAGGUAGCAAACAGGAUUAGAUACCCUUGUAGUC